AUUGAACGCUGGCGGCAUGCCUUACACAUGCAAGUCGAACGGCAGCACGGGAGCUUGCUCCUGGUGGCGAGUGGCGAACGGGUGAGUAAUACAUCGGAACGUACCCUGAAGUGGGGGAUAACGUAGCGAAAGUUACGCUAAUACCGCAUAUUCUGUGAGCAGGAAAGAGGGGGAUCGCAAGACCUCUUGCUUUAGGAGCGGCCGAUGUCGGAUUAGCUAGUUGGUGAGGUAAAGGCUCACCAAGGCGACGAUCCGUAGCGGGUCUGAGAGGAUGAUCCGCCACACUGGGACCGAGACACGGCCCAGACUCCUACGGGAGGCAGCAGUGGGGAAUUUUGGACAAUGGGCGCAAGCCUGAUCCAGCCAUGCCGCGUGAGUGAAGAAGGCCUUCGGAUCGUAAAACUCUGUUGGUAGAGAAGAACGUUGGUGAGAGUGGAAAGCUCAUCAAGUGACGGUAACUACCCAGAAAGGGACGGCUAACUACGUGCCAGCAGCC
rnacentral:rRNA from 1 species